rnacentral:lncRNA from 1 species
AAAAAAAAAAAAAACAAUGAUAGUUGAGUCAAGAGAUGGUUGAGUCUAGGGUGGUUUCUGGGUCUCUAGCUUGAACAGCUAGGUUGUGAUGUUUGCUAGGAAAGGAAAGGUGGGAGGGGAAUAGAUGAAAGGAGAGGUUGGAAUUGAAAAUAUACACGGGCAAAUAAAUGAUGUAGGAGAGAUCAUGGGAAUCCUGCAGAAAUGAGGAAGUAUGGUGACUAAGCAUAAUCCUGGGCUGACUGAUAAAUAAGGCAGUGAAGGCUACUCCCAUUCAAAUGACUAGUCAGGCUGGCCUGACUUGAGUAAAGAGGCGUUUACAACUAGCUGAGAGCCUACAGGGAAACAAAAAUAAAGAUUUGACUUUACUUUCAUUACUCGAGGUAAAAUAUACAUCUUCUUUUGUUAAAAUAAAUCAUCAAUAGUUAUUAAAAGAUACUUCAUGAGUUCCCCUGGUGGCACAGUGGGUUAAGGAUUCAGCAUUGUCACCGCAGUGGCUCAGGUAGCUACUGUGGUAUGGAUUUGGUCCCUGAUGAAGGUACACAUCCAUACUUUAUACUUUAAAAAAUCCUGCUUCUGGAUCUUUGUGGAUUUACUUCUUUCCUCUCUUUCUCACCCUUUGUUUAAUUUAUAGUUCUGCUUAUCUUUGUCUUCCUUAUUUAAGAAAUCACUGGAGUUCUCUUGUGGCAUAGUUAGUUAAGGAUCUGGCAUUGUCACUGCAGUGACUUGGGUUGCUGUUGUGACCUGGGUUGGAUCCCUGGCCUGGGGAACUUCCACAUGCCACAGGCACAGCCAAAAAAAGAAAAGAAAUCACUAACAUUAUCCGUUUUUCAAACUCAUCUACAAUUUCAUCUUUUGUAUUUCAGCUUUUUAGUUUGUUUUCCAGCCUUUAUUUUCUUAGCUUGCUUUACAGAGACUAUUAGGAUUAACUGCGUAUUUUUUUAGUAUGCAUUUCAAUCACUGCAUAUUAAAAUGUUCCCUGUUUUGUAUUUCACUUCAGAUCUCUCCUGGAUUCAGAAUGUCAGGAAACAUUUAAUGGCAAACUUCCCCAGCUCAGUCCCACUCUAGGCUUGCCUUGACCAGGUUCCAAAAGAGGUGUGGUGGAAGAAACCUCAAUAAAAACGCUAAACCACUGACCUAUCCUGAGGAACCCUGAAUCAUCUGAUUGGCCCUAGAAUCACCCUGAUUUUCCAUGAAUCCUCCAGGCUAAGGUUAGCCCGGAAUAAGACCAAUGUCAAGGCCUGCGAGAACAGUGGAACAGGAGAGCAGCAUCCAAGAAAUGGGAAAAAAAGAUGAACUUUGCUCAAGAAUUUUGAAACAUACUCAUUUCAAAUUUAUAGUAUCUGACUCACAUUCCCAAAAGUUUCCUUGUGUUCUUUUAUUUAAGGUUUUUGCUUUUCUUUUUCUAAGCAUAUACAUGCUGCCUAAAAUUCCACUCUUUUUUUCUCCUUCCACGCAGAUUUCUGUCCCCCUUUUUCCUGCUAUCUGUUUCAUCACUAAGAUUAUAUGCUUGUGUUUUUUUUCUUAAAGAUUUCACAAAUGCUCAGUUUUUCUGACAUUCCACAUGUAGACCACUAUGCCAGUUUUUAUGUAUUUAAUGAUGUAAAUCUCCUGACUUAUAAUCAGUUUCAUUCCUGGUACAAAUUAUGCCUAUACUGCAUUGCUUUCUAAGUUAAAAAUGGUACAUUUAAGAAAAUAGUCAAUUUAUAACAGCUACUUUAAAAGGCUGAAGUAAUAACCGAGUUUUAACAGUGUGAAAUAAUAAUUUAAAACAUGGAAAGAGAAACUGCACCUGCAAGUCUUAGGCUCAAACUACACUUUCUCCCUAGUGAGAGAAAGCAUCUAAGCAUUUUUUUCCUGUUCUCUUCAUCCGUCCUUCAGUCUGUCAUUUAUGCUGCAAACAUUUAUGAAGUUUCUACCACAUGGAAGGCCCUGUGCUAAGUUCUGAUGAUACAAGAUAACUAGUAAACAAUCCCCAACCUCCAGGAGCUCACUUAGGGGAAGAAAGAUAUGUAAACAAAUUAUCUUAAUCAUAUAUUCAUAAAAAGCAUCCUUGCAUCCAGAAGACCACAGACAAUACCUGACAUAGUAGUACUUAAUAAAUAUGUGUCAAGAGGCCUAGAUCCCACUACUGUCUUCACCUCCAACCAGCCAAAUAGCCUCUGUCCUGUUCUGUCAUGAAAACUUGAUGAGUUAAUUGAAGUGGAAAUGUGUGUUCUGUUCAUUCAGCAAGCAUUUAUUGAGCACCUGUGUUCUGCUCUAUAUUGAAACUUCAAAAGUGAAUAAAGGAAGGUGCUUUUAUUACCAAUCAAGGAUUCAGCAAUGGAGACAGACAUAUAAAUAAUAAUUUGUGAUAAAGGCUCUAAAAGAAAAUAUAUACAAUAAGUGAUUGCAUGAAUGAGGGAGAGAUUCAUUUUAGCCCUGGGAAUCAGAGAGGAAAUGCUGUGUCAACUCUGCCUUGGGGGCCUGUCUGCAUCCAGGGAACAGACACCGUUGGGGUCCUCCCAGUAAGAGAACCCAGCUUGAGCAAGGACAAGGGGUUUGAAAGGCUGGUGCUUAUGCGCCAUUAUCUUCCUUCCUGAAAGGUGUGAGGAAGGGCCAGGUGGUCUUUGGUGGUCUCUUCCAGCUUUGGAGUAUCAGUAGUUCAAGGAACUGUCACCCUCUGAAUAUAUGAAAUAAUUUGUGGCCAUUAGGGGGAGUGGGUGGAUAUUUCUUUCUGUUCUAUAUGUUAAAAGCUUUCACAUCUUUAAUCAGAGUUUCUGUUUCCAUUAUCUAAAGAUGAAAUAUCAUUCACUGAAAAAAAAUUCAGUCCAAUAUUAAUAUUAUCUUUGGAGGAAAAGAAUAAAAACAAAAGCAGUAAAACCCUCCAGCUCUUCUCGGCCUGUCCCCAGUAGGAGUUACUGUCUGGUUAGGAUGUGCAUUCAUACCUAGAGAAAUGUAGUGUUGUUAGGGUUUAUAUUUUAAACUUCUUAUUAAAAUUUUCACCACAAAUGGAUGAUUUUGAGUAAAAUUUAAUUUUUUAUACACUAUGCUAGCUAUGAUUUGCUUGUCUAAUUAAAGUCUACCUACUGAUUGUACUAAAUUCACAGUAUUUUAAUGUGCCUUUUCAUUUCUAUAUUAAGAACAAAGAAGAACUAUGAAACAGGGAGAGAGAGUACAGACAGUCUUACAGUUUUGAUUAUUAAAACCUAUGGUGGAAUUUCUUGGAACCUGAUUCUUCCCAUAGCCUAAGUAAUCUGUGCUGGAAAUCACCAAAAACACACAAUAUUAUAGGUCAGUUCAGAGCUUUUUGGUUGAAUUUGUAUUGCCUGCUUCUCUAAAAAAACAAGUACACAAAACAGUAUCUGGGCUAUAAGAGGUUCUCAAUAAUUAUUUGCUGAAUGUAUUUUAAAUGAAGUCAGUCAUUGAGCACAGUCCUUAGGGUGGCCACUCCACAGAUGCUGAAGGGCCUGGAAGCAGCAGUGUCCUGAGCAGCAGCACUACCACCGUGGGAGGGUAUUUAUGAAGCUCAGAAACUUCAUUUACAGACAGUCUCCAUUUCAGUGCACCUCCUGUGCCUGUGUAGAUUCACUACUUUCUAAAGAUUAUUCAGCAGACACUUAUCUUCAUAAAGCUGUGAUAGACAAGCCCAGAAAUGAUUUAGUAUCAGAGGAAAGGAAGCUACCUCUUCUAAGUUGAUGUCUUUUUUUUUUUUUUUCUUGGCUUUUGUGUGAACAGGACAUUAAGGCAACUAAUAGUAACAAUUCCCACAUGUGUUCUUGACACAUCAACUCUCUGAAGUAAGGGCAAUGCUAGCUCUGCAAGAAAGGGUGAUUAUUUGAAUUUUAACAAAAUUAAUAAGACUAUUUUGGGAUUUGUCACAAGGGGAUUUGAAAUUUCUGCUGUAAAAUACAGAGGCACAGAAAAAGAAAGAUGAUGAAAAUACACAUUCUUGAGGACUAAAACUAAAGACAUGGAAAGAAAUUGAGGGAUUGGAAGCUUUUAAUCUGUGAUAGUGGGUCUCUGAAAGAAGGUCGCGUUUACUUAAAUAGCAUUAACAUAAAAUACGUAAUUUCAUAUUUGAAAAGGGGCAGUAAUUUAGUUAUUUCUUGCCUGCUAACAAGAGAUAAUUAGGAAGGGAAAACCAGUCUUAACCAUUGUAUACAGAAGGGAUUUUUCUAGUUGAUAACAUAAUGCCUAAGACAAGAAAUGAGAGCUCCAUGUGGCAUUCUUUUUCAUUUAUAUUCCUUUCAGUAAUGACAUAGAAUCUGUUCCGUACAUCUAUUUCAUUAGAAUUUCUGAAGCACCUGUCACCUAUCAUCAUCAGUUUAUAUGUAUUUCAAGUUUUCCCAGUGAACAAAUGUAAUAAUGCAGAGUCCAUAUGUCCACAUUGUCUGGGGAUGGGGGGAAGAUUCCACAUGGUUUUUGGAAUACCUGGCUGCACUCCUUUUCCCAUUUAUUGUUUGGAGUAUGUCACCUUCUGUCAAUCUAAUUACUUCUCUAAGAAACGGCUGUUCUCAGCUCACUGCAUGACAACCGCUGCCUUGUGAAAACAUCCCAGAAGCCUCUGCAAUCAAUUGAUCCACCCCACAAAUGUCACUCUCACAUGGAAGGCUGACUCCAGAUUUACAGAGUUCUCAGAGGAAAGAGUUUCUUUAGAUACGUAGCAGUAGAAGCUGGUGGUUUCAGUAGAUCCCUUGCCUUAUCUUGACACACUGAAUAAAUCUUUUGAAAACAUUGUCUGCUGAGAGACACUUACAAUAUAUACAUCCAGGACUUCUAACACCUGUAAAAGAAUAAUGAUUUAAGUGCCUACAUUACCUGACCAAUAACAUUUAUAAAAGAUCAGAGAAGCUUUCAAAAGCCAGCAACAGAGACUUUGAUUUUACUAGGAAAAAAAGCCUCGAGGAAUAAUGCUUAUUUUUCCAUUUAUUAAUCCCUUUAGUUAAUAUCAACUAUUUAUUACUG